UUUGAGAGGAGGGGCCCGGAGAUGGGUACUGAGACACGGACCCAGGCCCUAUGGGGCGCAGCAGGCGAGAAACCUUUGCAAAUGUGCGAAAGCACGACAAGGUUAAUCCGAGUGUCUCCUGCUAAAGGAGUCUUUUGUCAGUUGUAGAAUCACUGGUGAAUAAGGGGUGGGCAAGUUCUGGUGUCAGCCGCCGCGGUAAAACCAGCACCUCGAGUGGUCAGGAGGUUUAUUGGGCCUAAAGCAUCCGUAGCCGGUUGCAUAAGUUUUCGGUUAAAUCUAUGCGCUUAACGNUAUAGGCCGCCGAAAAUACUGUGCAGCUAGGGAGUGGGAGAGGUACACGGUACUCGAUAGGAAGGGGUAAAAUCCUUUGAUCUAUUGAAGACCACCUGUGGCGAAGGCGGUGUACCAGAACACGUUCGACGGUGAGGGAUGAAAGCUGGGUGGAGCAAACCGGGAUUAGGGAUANCNCCGGGUAGGUUCCCAGCGUGUAAACGAUGCUAGUACUCGGUGAUGCCAUNUGGCUUGNUGGCCAAUGCAGUGUCCGCCAUGGGAAGCCGUGUAAUGUCUGCCGCUCUUGGGAAGUACGUACGCAUAGUAUGAAACUUAAAGGAAUUGU
rnacentral:rRNA from 1 species